rnacentral:misc_RNA from 1 species
GAUACAUGUGGGAGUACCCAAUAGCUCGAGCAUUCGUUGAUUCAAGAGUACAACCCAUCUAUGGAGGCAGCAACGAAAUCAUGAAGGAACUGAUUGCCCGAACCAUUGUCUCUGACAAGUGAACCAAACAAAUCUUUAACUAAACAAAAAAUUCUAUGAAAUAUUCUAUUUUCUCUUAUAAACUUGGUGUAGUGUUAUAUCACUGAUUUCCUCAUUAAUUUGACACCUCAGAUAGGAUUUUUACUCUAAUGUUCAGUUCUGCGUGAAAUUCUGUUAUUGUAUAUUAUAAAAGAUGGAUGCAAUCAGUCUUGCCUUUCAUGACUGAUGAAUGCUGAAGAUUGACAUCGUCAGAGUUCAGAAUGACCAAAUUCAUUAUCAUUGUGUGAUUUAAAGAAGAAUAUACUAGAAACCAAUGAAUUAGGCAACCAUCCUGGGAGCCCAAGUCUGUGAUACAUAAGGAAUUUUUUUUGGAGAUGACACUUAUUUAUAGUACAUGUAUUUAAAAGAUCCUGAUCAUUGCUCUCCAAUGAAAUGAAGCCUCAGUGCAUAAUAAAACUGUUUCAACAAGUCUGACGGAAAAUUCCAAAUUGUAUGAUUUCCGUAUUGAAAAUAAAUCUAUGUAUUGAU